rnacentral:rRNA from 1 species
UACGUAGGGUGCGAGCGUUGUCCGGAAUUAUUGGGCGUAAAGAGCUCGUAGGCGGUUUGUCGCGUCUGCUGUGAAAACCCGAGGCUCAACCCCGGGCCUGCAGUGGGUACGGGCAGACUAGAGUGCGGUAGGGGAGAUUGGAAUUCCUGGUGUAGCGGUGGAAUGCGCAGAUAUCAGGAGGAACACCAAUGGCGAAGGCAGAUCUCUGGGCCGUAACUGACGCUGAGGAGCGAAAGCAUGGGGAGCGAACAGG